rnacentral:rRNA from 1 species
UACGUAGGGUGCAAGCGUUGUCCGGAUUUAUUGGGCGUAAAGAGCGUGUAGGCGGCCUGAUAGGUCAGCUGUGAAAACUCGAGGCUCAACCUCGAGACGUCGGUUGAAACCAUCUGGCUAGAGUCCGGAAGAGGAGUGUGGAAUUCCCGGUGUAGCGGUGAAAUGCGCAGAUAUCGGGAAGAACACCAGUGGCGAAGGCGGCCUUCUGGACCAAUACUGACGCUCAUGCACGAAAGCGUGGGGAGCAAACAGG